rnacentral:rRNA from 1 species
UGGGGAAUAUUGCACAAUGGAGGAAACUCUGAUGCAGCGACGCCGCGUGAGUGAAGGAGUAAUUCGUUAUGUAAAGCUCUAUCAGCAGGGAAGAUAGUGACGGUACCUGACUAAGAAGCACCGGCUAAAUACGUGCCAGCAGCCGCGGUAAUACGUAUGGUGCAAGCGUUAUCCGGAUUUACUGGGUGUAAAGGGAGCGUAGACGGUUUUGUAAGUCUGAUGUGAAAACCCGGGGCUCAACCCCGGGACUGCAUUGGAAACUAUAGGACUAGAGUGUCGGAGAGGUAAGCGGAAUUCCUAGUGUAGCGGUGAAAUGCGUAGAUAUUAGGAGGAACACCAGUGGCGAAGGCGGCUUACUGGACGAUAACUGACGUUGAGGCUCGAAAGCGUGGGGAGCAAACAGGAUUAGAUACCCUGGUAGU